UACGUAGGGUGCAAGCGUUAAUCGGAAUUACUGGGCGUAAAGCGUGCGCAGGCGGUUUUGUAAGUCAGAUGUGAAAUCCCCGGGCUUAACCUGGGAACUGCGGUUGAAACUACAGGACUAGAAUCUGGCAGAGGGGGGUGGAAUUCCACGUGUAGCAGUGAAAUGCGUAGAGAUGUGGAGGAACACCGAUGGCGAAGGCAGCCCCCUGGGCUGAGAUUGACGCUCAGGCACGAAAGCGUGGGGAGCAAACAGG
rnacentral:rRNA from 1 species